CCUGUUCGAUUCUAUACUAUCUUUCAUAUAUUUUAUUUUUGAUAAUAAAAGGGUCCAAAAUUAAGUCUCCGCACUGUUGGCUACAACGUUUUUCUUACGAUUUUUUUAAAUAUAUAAACUAUAUAUUGGAAAUGUAUAAAGAGCUUACAAGAGAUGUAAUAUCUAAGGUAUACAUAGGUAUAUUAAGUUUAGAAAUAGCCUUAGAUUAAGUCGCAUUGAAAGGAAAUGAUCCUGCAAAUAACCACAGAAAAUAUGCAGAGAGCGAGAGAGCGAGAGAGAGUAAGUAAUAAAUUAUUUAUGCGCAGUACGGAUACCAUUCUGGAUAAAUAUCUACACAGAGAAAUGCCCAAAGCACUCAAAUCUUUAACCAGAAAAGCCAUCGCACAGAUACAGAAAUAGUGGUGCUGCAUGAGAAGAUGGGUUGAUGUCUGUGGUGCAACUCCCUUGGGAGUACAGAAUAACAGAAGGGUCCCCAACAGAAUGGUAUGCCAAAAGGAUGCACUUGCGAUGUAACUAAUAUUGCUCUCUUUGCCAGUUCUCUUUGCUACCGGCGAUAUUUGGCUCACCAAUCAAGGCUCUGAAUACUAUUAAAUGCUUAUAUUGGGUCGACCAUGCCCACUGUAACAGAUUAAGCUCAAUUACAUAUACGCUGUAAAGUUUAUGUUAGGACCAUAUAUUUAUGUAUAUACCAUUACUGUGUAGAGUAUACCGGUUCAUCAGUUCCUUUUGGGCGCUGAUCGAUCCUUUUGAAAGUCUUUUUCGACCAA